rnacentral:rRNA from 1 species
AGAAUCAACGCUGGCGGCGUGCCUAACACAUGCAAGUCGCACGAGAAAGGGUAGCAAUACCUGAGUAAAGUGGCGCACGGGUGAGUAACACGUGAAUAAUCUACCUCCGAGUGGGGAAUAACUGAGAGAAAUCUUAGCUAAUACCGCAUAACACUUACGAGUCAAAGCAGUAAUGCGCUUGGAGAGGAGUUCGCGGCCGAUUAGUUAGUUGGCGGGGUAAUGGCCCACCAAGACGAUGAUCGGUAUCCGGCCUGAGAGGGCGCACGGACACACUGGAACUGAAACACGGUCCAGACUCCUACGGGAGGCAGCAGUGGGGAAUUUUGCGCAAUGGGGGAAACCCUGACGCAGCAACGCCGCGUGGAGGAUGAAAUAUCUUGGUAUGUAAACUCCUUUCGAUGGGGAAGAUUAUGACGGUACCCAUAGAAGAAGCCCCGGCUAACUUCGUGCCAGCAGCCGC